CCUACGGGGGGCAGCAGUGGGGAAUAUUGGACAAUGGGGGAAACCCUGAUCCAGCGACGCCGCGUGAGUGAAGAAGUAUUUCGGUACGUAAAGCUCUAUUAGCAGGAAAGAAAAUGACGGUACCUGACUAAGAAGCCCCGGCUAACUACGUGCCAGCAGCCGCGGUAAUACGUAGGGGGCAAGCGUUAUCCGGAUUUACUGGGUGUAAAGGGAGCGUAGACGGCAGCGCAAGUCUGGAGUGAAAUGCCGGGGCGCAACCCCGGAACUGCUCUGGAAACUGUGAAGCUGGAGUGCAGGAGAGGUAAGCGGAAUUCCUGGUGUAGCGGUGAAAUGCGUAGAUAUCAGGAGGAACACCGGCGGCGAAGGCGGCUUACUGGACUGUAACUGACGUUGAGGCUCGAAGGCGUGGGGAGCGAACAGGAUUAGAUACCCCUGUAGUC
rnacentral:rRNA from 1 species